AGUGAACGCUGGCGGUAGGCCUAACACAUGCAAGUCGAACGGCAGCACAGUAAGAGCUUGCUCUUACGGGUGGCGAGUGGCGGACGGGUGAGGUAUACAUCGGAAUCUACUUUUUCGUGGGGGAUAACGUAGGGAAACUUACGCUAAUACCGCAUACGACCUACGGGUGAAAGCAGGGGAUCUUUGGACCUUGUGCGAUUGAAUGAGCCGAUGUCGGAUUAGCUAGUUGGCGGGGUAAAGGCCCACCAAGGCGACGAUCCGUAGCUGGUCGGAGAGGAUGAUCAGCCACACUGGAACUGAGACACGGUCCAGACUCCUACGGGAGGCAGCAGUGGGGAAUAUUGGACAAUGGGCGCAAGCCUGAUCCAGCCAUACCGCGUGGGUGAAGAAGGCGUUCGGGUUGUAAAGCCCUUUUGUUGGGAAAGAAAAGCAGCAGGUUAAUACCCCGCUGUUCUGACGGUACCCAAAGAAUAAGCACCGGCUAACUUCGUG
rnacentral:rRNA from 1 species